UACGUAGGGCGCAAGCGUUGUCCGGAAUUAUUGGGCGUAAAGAGCUCGUAGGCGGCUUGUCGCGUCGGAUGUGAAAGCCCGGGGCUCAACCCCGGGUCUGCAUUCGAUACGGGCAGGCUGGAGUGUGGUAGGGGAGAUCGGAAUUCCUGGUGUAGCGGUGAAAUGCGCAGAUAUCAGGAGGAACACCGAUGGCGAAGGCAGGUCUCUGGGCCACUACUGACGCUGAGAAGCGAAAGCAUGGGGAGCGAACAGG
rnacentral:rRNA from 1 species